rnacentral:rRNA from 1 species
UACGUAGGGGGGCAAGCGUUGUCCGGAAUUAUUGGGCGUAAAGAGCGUGUAGGCGGUCCGGUAAGUCAGCUGUGAAAGUCAAGGGCUCAACCCUUGAAUGCCGGUUGAUACUGUCGGGCUAGAGUCCGGAAGAGGCGAGUGGAAUUCCCGGUGUAGCGGUGAAAUGCGCAGAUAUCAGGAAGAACACCGGUGGCGAAGGCGGGUCGUCUGG